rnacentral:rRNA from 1 species
AGAGUUUGAUCCUGGCUCAGAUUGAACGCUGGCGGCAUGCCUUACACAUGCAAGUCGAACGGUAGAGGGGCAACCCUUGAGAGUGGCGAACGGGUGAGUAAUAUAUCGGAACGUGCCCAGUCGUGGGGGAUAACGCAGCGAAAGCUGCGCUAAUACCGCAUACGAUCUAUGGAUGAAAGCGGGGGAUCGCAAGACCUCGCGCGAUUGGAGCGGCCGAUAUCAGAUUAGGUAGUUGGUGGGGUAAAAGCCCACCAAGCCGACGAUCUGUAGCUGGUCUGAGAGGACGACCAGCCACACUGGGACUGAGACACGGCCCAGACUCCUACGGGAGGCAGCAGUGGGGAAUUUUGGACAAUGGGCGCAAGCCUGAUCCAGCAAUGCCGCGUGCAGGACGAAGGCCUUCGGGUUGUAAGCUGCUUUUGUACGGAGCGAAACGGUCUGGGUUAAUACCCUGGGCUAAUGACGGUACCGUAAGAAUAAGCACCGGCUAACUACGUGCCAGCCGCCGCGGUAAUAC